GAGUCUAAGAAAUAAAAAAAGGGAAACGGCUGAGAUAUUCAUAGGUUGCAUAUAGAGAAUUCUCUUAGAUUUUCUCUUUUUGAAAGUUAAUUUUCAUGAUGGAUACACACAACUCAUAGAAGAAGGAUCAUAAGCUUCGUAGUAACAAGAUUCAAAGUUAUUUGGUUUUUUUCACUACUAUUUGAUUAUUUCCCGGGGAUUUUCUUGCAAGUUUUAAGCUGUGGGACUGCUAUUGAUUUGAUUAGAGUUUGCUGCUAUUAUUUGCUGAUUCCAGAAGAUUCUCUUUUUCUCAUUUUUUUUCGUUUGCUGCAACCAGGUACUCCUUUGAAUCCUGAAUGACAAAUGGAGCUUGAAUGUGUUUUGUGUGGAAGAUGUGUUUCUGCUGAAAUCAAUGAAGAUUGUUCUUGUUUGGACUUUAGUUUUCAUAUUUCCUUCUAAGCCAUUCAGCUUUCUCUUCAUUUCUUCCUUUUUAUUUCUUUCUUAUAUGUGAAAAUCUGUUGUGAUGGUCACUGGUUAGUGAAGUUAUUUAGUGACAAAUGUCUUAGUAGCUCAUACUGUAGGUAUUAAAUCUGUGUAAAAGUCCCAGAUAAAGUCAUAGUAUAAUCAGCUCGUUUAUCUAUUAUUCAUUGAAAUGGGGUGUUGACUAAUGUGUUGGCUUUGAGUUUGCUUGUCAAGUUUGAGGGAUUAAUUCUGGAGUCCCAGUUUUAUGUACUUUUAAAGAAAACUCCAUGUGAUUGCUAAAAUAAUGUCUAGAUGGGUCAUCUUAGAAGUCAAACAUUGAUGUGGUAGUUGAACAGC
rnacentral:lncRNA from 1 species